UUAAGUUUCUUCAGUAUCCUUCUACUUGGGCAAUCCAAUGCCUUUCUAGCGAAGGAAGUGGCAAAGUUAGUUAGCCAGUGGUACUUGACAGUGAUGUAUGGAAAAGAACAACCUUACCCCACUGAUUCUGACACCUUCUGGGAAAAUAUCAACAAUCAGACAUUGGCUACUGCGAAUGCUGACUUACUCACUUACAGCCUGUUACGCUGCUGGGGUUUAGGGCAGCAGUGAAGGUCCUCCACCUCUGGUGGUGUUCAGGUCUUCCUUCAGUAUCAAUCAACACAGUUGAAGGAUCCUGCUGCCAGCUGCAUUUGCUAUGUGUCUACCUUUGGAAUGUGGGAAGAAAACAGAACACCUGGGAGAAACUCACGCGGUCAUGAGGAGAGCAUACGUACUUCUUACAGACAGAGGCUCCCACAACCAGAGGAGAAAAACACCCAACAAUAGGACCGUGGUCAGCCGUCAGACCUGCAAUAGGAGGAUGAGUGUGCUGCUUCCCGCUCCUUGUUAUCAUCCAUAACAAAGUAAUUCUUCACCCCGCAACUGACUCCAUGCUUCUGGGGCUGACGAAGCAUGCCUACAACUUACUAAUCCUUACGUCUUUGAAACUGCGGCACCCAGAGGAAGCCCAUGUGGUCAUGGGAAGAAUGUACAAACUCCUUAAAGACAACAUUGGAAUUUAUACCAUGAUUACUAGUGCUGUAAAGCAUUUUGCUAACCACAAUACUGCCAUGCCGCACUAGGACACCCCAUAGCUCCUAUAAUGCCCGAUGCUCAUACUUGUUUCUUGAUGUAAAAUAUGGUGAAUUGAAUUGGUUAAAGGUUGGUGUCUGCAAUGAUUCAUCUUGGUUUUACAAGAAGAGACCAAGAUGAAUUACUCACUUGGAAAUUCUGGCUGUUCAUCAUUAAAGACUGCAAAAAUACAUAAUUCUGUAUUUCCAUAGUAGAUAAAAACAGAAGCUUUUCAGUUGUGUAAAAAGGAUGGGAUAAGUAUAAGCUAUGA